UCAACAUAAAGGCUAUUAGAGGAACAUUUUGUUCCUUAGGUAGGUCUAGGAUAGAGAAAAGCUUCUCUAUCUGCAAGAUAUAGACUUCGGCUAUUAAGGAGUCAAAGCCACCUUCAAAGUGUAGCGGGUUAAGUUUCCUAAACUCUAUUAUGUUAUGAGAGAUAGACCUCUCAGCUAUUCUGUAUUCUGGGACAGGGUGUUGAUAAGGGUUAGCUUAGUUUUAUCCUACGGCUGCUGUCAAUCUUUAGAUAGUCCUAGGCCUCCAUUCUUUCAGUAUGUUCUAUGGAAUGUCUCCCUCGUGUCAUUCCCACAAAAGAAAGGAAACACAUGUUAUAGUCACAACAAUCAAAAUCAAAUAAAUCAUAAAAUGCUCAGAUUUUUGUGUCAUGCUUUGCGAAGUCGUUCCGACUUCCAUCUCUGAUGGUAGAUACGAAUUUUUGACUACCCAUAUGGAAUGAUCAGAUCGAAUACAGAUAACGACAAUUUUUUUAGGCACAUUUUAGCUUGUCAAAUAAUUGUACGAUUUAUGGCCACAGUCGUACGAACCAUUGUGGUCUUAUCAUAUAUUUUAUAGUCACGGCAGUACUUAGUCAAAGGUGACCCCUGCUCAGAUUUUCAUGUCAUGCAUCAUGAAAUUGUUCUGGCUUCCAUUUUUGAGGGCAUAUAUAGUUUUUUAACUAGCCGUAUGGAAUGACCAGAUUAUAUACAAAUAACGGCGAUUUGCUCAGGUACAUUUUUAGCUUGUCAAACCAUGGUACAAUCUAUGAUCACGAUCAUACUAACCACUGUCGUCCUAUAAGAUAUUCUAUAA
rnacentral:lncRNA from 1 species